GUGGUAAUUCUAGAGCUAAUACAUGCAAACAGAGUCCCGACCAGAGAUGGAAGGGACGCUUUUAUUAGAUCAAAACCAAUCGGCGUCCGGUUCGCCGGCGCCGUUAUCCUUGGUGACUCUGAAUAACUUUGGGCAGAUCGCACGGUCUCCGUACCGGCGACGCAUCUUUCAAAUGUCUGACUUAUCAACUGUCGAUGGUAGAUUCUGCGCCUACCAUGGUUGUAACGGGUAACGGGGAAUCAGGGUUCGAUUCCGGAGAGGGAGCCUGAGAAACGGCUACCACAUCCAAGGAAGGCAGCAGGCGCGCAAAUUACCCACUCCCGGCACGGGGAGGUAGUGACGAAAAAUAACGAUACGGGACUCAUCCGAGGCCCCGUAAUCGGAAUGAGUACACUUUAAAUCCUUUAACGAGUACCAAUUGGAGGGCAAGUCUGGUGCCAGCAGCCGCGGUAAUUCCAGCUCCAAUAGCGUAUAUUAAAGUUGUUGCGGUUAAAAAGCUCGUAGUUGGAUCUGUGUCUCACGAUGUCGGUUCACCGCUCGCGGUGUUAACUGGCAUGUCCUGUGGGACGUCCUGCCGGUGGCGGUCCGGGCCCCCGUGUAGAGUUGCUCGAAGCGCGCCGACGGUUCCGGCCGCCGGUUCAAUCCCGCCGCGGUGCUCUUUAUUGAGUGUCGAGGUGGGCCGGCACGUUUACUUUGAACAAAUUAGAGUGCUUAAAGCAGGCUGAUUUCUGCCUGAAUACUGUGUGCAUGGAAUAAUGGAAUAGGACCUCGGUUCUAUUUUGUUGGUUUUCGGAAUCAGAGGUAAUGAUUAAUAGGGACAGGCGGGGGCAUUCGUAUUGCGACGUUAGAGGUGAAAUUCUUGGAUCGUCGCAAGACGAACCUAAGCGAAAGCAUUUGCCAAGUAUGUUCUCGUUAAUCAAGAACGAAAGUUAGAGGUUCGAAGGCGAUCAGAUACCGCCCUAGUUCUAACCAUAAACGAUGCCAGCCAGCGAUCCGCCGAAGUUCCUCCGAUGACUCGGCGGGCAGCUUCCGGGAAACCAAAGCUUUUGGGUUCCGGGGGAAGUAUGGUUGCAAAGCUGAAACUUAAAGGAAUUGACGGAAGGGCACCACCAGGAGUGGAGCCUGCGGCUUAAUUUGACUCAACACGGGAAACCUCACCAGGCCCGGACACCGGAAGGAUUGACAGAUUGAUAGCUCUUUCUUGAUUCGGUGG
rnacentral:rRNA from 1 species